rnacentral:rRNA from 1 species
UACGGAGGUUGCAAGCGUUAUCCGGAUUUAUUGGGUUUAAAGGGUGCGUAGGCGGGAUGAUAAGUCAGUGGUGAAAGCCUGUAGCUUAACUAUAGAAUUGCCAUUGAUACUGUCGUUCUUGAGUGUAGUUGAGGUGGGCGGAAUGUGUAAUGUAGCGGUGAAAUGCUUAGAGAUUACACAGAACACCGAUUGCGUAGGCAGCUCACUAAACUAUAACUGACGCUGAGGCACGAAAGCGUGGGGAGCAAACAGG